CCAGUCACUAGAUUGUAACUAGCCGUCUUGCAAUGCAGUUGAACUGUCUUUCGAUCCUGAUUGCUUUGUACCUGUUUCCCAGCCUCUGCUUCACCAGUUUUGACUCUCUCUCUCUCUCUCCUGUCGAUUUUAACAUCCUAGUCUGCCAUUUUCUGGCCACUCCACCACUUUGUCCUCCUGUGGGAAUUAUACCUACCUCACCUCCCUGUGUUUUCAGCCUGCUGCUCACUGCAGUUUCACCGUAGUAUUUUCUUACUUGUAUGAUGUCUUCCUCCUGCGGGUUCACCGCUCCUGCAGUCCUGUGGUCCGAUCCUGCCAACUACUGAUGACGAACUGCUUCGUGAGGGCAUUCAGGCACCUGUGCGUAGACCAUUUGCAGACCCUGGUGGUUUCAGAGGCUUCUGAACACCAUAGCCAUCUUCACCAGUCCCAGGAGCUGCUCUGUCAUUUCAUUUAUC